AUUGAACGCUGGCGGCAGGCCUAACACAUGCAAGUCGAGCGAGCGGCGGACGGGUGAGUAACACGUGAUAACCUACCUAUAAGACUGGGAUAACUUCGGGAAACCGGAGCUAAUACCGGAAAUCAAUAGAUGGAUCCGCGUUGCAUUAGCUAGUUGGUAAGGUAACGGCUUACCAAGGCAACGAUGCAUAGCCGAUCUGAGAGGGUGACCGGCCACACUGGAACUGAGACACGGUCCAGACUCCUACGGGAGGCAGCAGUGGGGAAUAUUGCACAAUGGGCGCAAGCCUGAUGCAGCCAUGCCGCGUGAAUGAAGAAGGCCUUCGGGUUGUAAAGUACUUUCAGCAGGGAGGCGGUACCCGCAGAAGAAGCACCGGCUAACUCCGUGCCAGCAGCCGCGGUAAUAC
rnacentral:rRNA from 1 species